rnacentral:rRNA from 1 species
AGACGGAGGGGGCUAGCGUUGUUCGGAAUUACUGGGCGUAAAGCGCACGUAGGUGGAUUGGUCAGUUGAGGGUGAAAUCCCAGGGCUCAACCCUGGAACUGCCUUCAAUACUGUCAGUCUUGAGAUUGGAAGAGGUGAGUGGAAUUCCUAGUGUAGAGGUGAAAUUCAUAGAUAUUCGGAGGAACACCAGUGGCGAAGGCGGCUCACUGGUCCAAUACUGACGCUGAGGUACGAAAGCGUGGGGAGCAAACAGGAUUAGAUACCCUAGUAGUCC